rnacentral:rRNA from 1 species
GUACAUUCAAUCUCGUUACUUAUUAGGCAACGAUUCUUAGUCCCUAUCGACAGAGCUUUACACACCAAGAUGCUUCUUCACUCACGCGGCGUUGCUGCGUCAGGGUUUCCCCCAUUGCGCAAAAUUCCCC